GCUGACCGUCCAGGCGCAGUCUGGAUCCGGGAGCGUAAUGGUUCAGCUCAGUUUGAACCUGAGGAAAGGUUUGAAUCAGCCAGAAUAACCUGCGUGGAUGUGUCUGGUUGAUAAAAAACUCUUUAUCACCCUCUGCGGCUUCACGGCGCUGCUCCGUUCUGUUUGAUUGUCACAGGAGAUAUUUUUGUAUUUUGUUGCUCAAGCCAGAAUUUAAUCUGCUCGUCAGGACUUAUAUCACCUGACAGUUUGUCUGACACAUGAAUUCUCUCCAGACAUGUUGCAGUUUGAGAAAUCAAUCUUAUCUCAGUGUCUAUUGUAGUAGAUCUGUUUGGAAUGGUAUGUCUCAGCUGAUGAUUUGAAAGUCGGGGAUGAACUUUUAAUAUCCCUCUAGCUUGUUAGUGAAACUGUUUUUUUACAAGGACAAUAAUAAUUGCACUGUACAUGUGCUGCUGUUAGCCAGAAUACUUACUUUGAAUGCCACUUGAUAAUACAGGCUGAUGUUAAUACUAAUCAGGAUUUUGUUUCUGCACAGUCAGCUUUGCUUUGUUGUACUCAUUUUUCUCUCUGUCGCAGCUGGAAUAUGAAACAAAUGUUAACUCUGGUGUUAUGGGUAAUCUUUAGAGAAGACAAUUCACAUCCCAUGAGAUGACUUUAUUCCAGUUAAUACAUAAAGACAGAGGCAAAGUCUUCUGGGAUUGUCAGUAAGUGAUGUUUCUUUGAAAGUGAUAUUAUUUCUUGAGUGAGCGACUUUCUCCAUCUGUGCUCAGCUCGCUCCCACCAGGACAGAUCCACUGUCACUGUAAUGCAGAGCAGUUUGGGGAAAUAUAUACACUUAUUUGCUUGAUUUAUGUCAGUGAGGCGAGAAGACAAAGAUAUCUGACUCAUGUCUGUGUGUUAAGUACAGAGAGUCAAGAUGUGUUUAGCUUCGAAUACGUGCAGGAAGCUUUAAACCUGCUCACACAGGCAGAUGUAAGGAAUAAAAAAUAAAACACUGAUGUUUUUGGGGA